rnacentral:piRNA from 3 species
GUCUUAAUCAGUGGUGGAAGAACGGU